rnacentral:lncRNA from 1 species
CUCCCCCCCCCCCCCCCCCCCCCCCCCCCCCAGGGGUGGGCUGGGCCCAGCUGCCUUUACACAGAUGCCACCUCAGGAAGCUGGCACACUGGUGGCGUUACCUUUGCCCUCAGGGCAGGGUGUAUCACCACUCCCGAGCUCACACUGCCCACAGGGUCUGACCUUCACUGACCUGUUUCUGCAGAUGUUGGCUCCAGCUGCUGGCAAAGGCCCCAGGGUGGACCUGGUUGCCAGUGUAAAGUUGUGGCUGGAGCGAGUGUGUGCACACCUGGGGCUGGGGUUGCAAGAGCCCCACCUGGGGGAGCAGGCAGCUUUUGUGGCCUAUGCUCUGGCCUUUCCCCGGGCCUUCCAGGGCCUCUUAGACACCUACAGUGUGCGGAGGUAAGCUGCAGGCUUUCCCCAGGGGUUGGCCUGGCAGAGCAGCUGCAGCCCCUAACCCUUUGUUUAUGCCUGCAGGAGUGGUCUUCCUAACUUCCUGGCAGUAGCCCUGGCACUGGGGGAGCUGGGCUACAGGGCAGUGGGUGUGAGGCUGGACAGUGGGGACCUACUUCAGCAGGCUCAGGAGAUCCGCAGGGUCUUCCGGACCACUGCUGCCCAGUGAGUCCCCCGCCAGGGGGCAUGCCUUGUAGGAGGCCCUGUGGGGAGCUGGGAGAUGGGGUGUAGAGGCAAGGAGGAAGAGUGUUUUUUUCCCCACAGCGAAGGCUUUGGGUCUUGUUUUAGGGGCAAUAGAGCAGGCCCUGGAAUGGAGGCAUGGGGUGGGUCUACCAGGGUCUCUGAAGCUAAGGACCAAUGUGAAUGUGACUGAGUGGGGGUGGGAGGGAGGCCCAGGUAAAUCGGGAAGGUCUAAGGGGCUGUCCCCAAAUCCCAUCACACACAGGUUCCAGGUGCCCUGGCUGGAGGCUGUCCCCAUCGCUGUCAGCAACAAUAUUGAUGAGGAAGAGCUGGCCCGAUUGGCCCAGGAGGUGGGGUGGAAGUGGGUAGAUGGAGGGUGAUCUGAAGGGUCCUGUAACCCUAUAGGUCCUGGCUGGGCUCAUUUCUACCUCUCCCCCCCAGGGCAGUGAGGUAAACGUCAUUGGCAUUGGCACCAGUGUGGUCACCUGUCCCCAACAGCCUUCCCUUGGCUGCGUCUACAAGGUGGGGACAGUGUCUGGGCCAAGGUUGGGUGGGUCCAGGAGAUUGUGGCAGGUAGAGGACAGGGGUCCAGCUAUCCCAACACUGUCUCCCUGCAGCUGGUAUCUGUGGGAGGUCAACCUCGAAUGAAGCUGACCGAGGACCCUGAGAAACAGACAUUGCCAGGGAGCAAGGCUGCUUUCCGGCUCCUGGGCUCUGAUGGUGAGCCCCUUCCUGUCCCUGGGGCUCUUCUUCAAGGCCCCAGAUCCCCACCACACGUUUGAUAUUCUUGCCCCCCACCCACACAGGGUCUCUGUUGAUGGACCUGCUUCAGUUGGCAGAAGAGCCACCGCCCCAGGCUGGGCAGGAGCUGAGGGUUUGGCCUCGAGGGGCUCAAGAGCCCUGCACCGUGAGGCCCGCCCAGGUGGAGCCCCUGUUGCGACUCUGGCUGCGCCUGGGAGAGGUGACUGCUCCUCACACUUUGAGUCCAGCUGAGACCCGACCCCCAGCCACGCUCAAGCCCUGCUUCUACCCCUCUCCUGCAGCUGUGUGAGCCGCUCCCGUCCCUGUCAGAGUCCAGAGCCUUUGCCCAGCAGUCCCUUAGCCGCCUCAGCCCUGCGCACAGACGGCUGCAGAGCCCUGCAGUGUACCAGGUGGGCAGAAGGCCUGUCACUGGGCAGCCCUGUGUACAUACACCCCACCCUCCACCCUCCACCUGCCAGCCCCCUCCUGUCUCCCACAGGUUGCUCUCUCUGAAAAGCUUCGGGCCCUGGUGGACCGUCUGAGUGCUGGAGGCCUCCUAUGAGAAUCCCUGGCGGUGGGGGGGAGUGCUGCCUGGAAACAACAUGAAUCUUUCAUUGUCCCUACAACUUGUCACGUGUCAUUUAUUCAUUCAGCC